rnacentral:rRNA from 1 species
UACGUAGGGGCAAGCGUUGUCCGGAUUCAUUGGGCGUAAAGAGCGUGUAGGCGGCCAGGUAGGUCGGUUGUGAAACUGGAGGCUCAACCUUCAGACGGUCGACCGAAACCAUCUGGCUAGAGUCCGGGAGAGGAGAGUGGAAUUCCUGGUGUAGCGGUGAAAUGCGCAGAUAUCAGGAGGAACACCAAUGGCGAAGGCAGGUCUCUGGGCAUUAACUGACGCUGAGGAGCGAAAGCAUGGGGAGCGAACAGG